UUGAUGACCAGAGAUCACGAG
rnacentral:miRNA from 1 species